AGUACAUUUUAGAAUUCUAAAACAAUUAUACAUUUUUAUUUGUUGUAAAUCAGUUGAAAAUAUGGCACAAUGACAAUGUCGGUUAAAAUUGUUUUUGACCAAAUUCAGGAGUUUUCUCUCUCUCUUCUCUCUCUUUCAUCUUUCAGAGAGAAAGAAAACUUUUCCGUUCAUGUUUAACCGGUCUUUUCCGGUGACUUAUGUCCCGUUUGAAGCGGGCUUCUCGUCUAGCUGCACCGGCUCUCUCAGCGGUGUAGGCUGGCUUUGCUUCCGGCGUAGAUGGCUUUGUUAGCAUCUUCGGCUGGCUUUGCUUCCGGCGUAGAUGGCUUUGUUAGCAUCUUCGGCUGGCUUUGCUUCCGGCGUAGAUGGCUUUGUUAGCAUCUUCGGCUGGCUUUGCUUCCGGCGUAGAUGGCUUUGUUAGCAUCUUCGGCUGGUUUUGCUUCUGGCGUAGAUGGCUUCAUUAGCAUUUUCGGCAGGCUAUGUUUCCGACAUCGGUGGUGUCGUUCACACUGGUGGUCGGCUCUCUUCCAGUACUGUUGGCUCUUUCAGCGACGAUCGAGAAUUUCCUUAGCUUCUCGGCGUUUUCGGCCGAAUUUGAAGUUUUCCGGCGAUACUUUCCGAUGUCGGUGAUCGGAGACUCUAGCUUCUUCGACUUCUCACGUGUCAUCUAUCCUGUCUCUCCCUUGCCACGUGUAUUGUGACUCGAUGCUUCUGUUCAGUUUUCAAGGAAGAGUUUUCUUAUUUGGGCCUGUGGGCUUGUUUUUGAAACUUUUUUACUUCUGUUUGUUUGUAGUAUUGGCUUUCGUUUUGGCUUGUAAUAUUGGCUUGAUUCACUUAGCUUUA